CACAGGAACCGUGUUACCAUGUGACUCAUGUUUAUUCUAUAAAGAUCAGGAAAUACACAAAUCCAGCAAACUCCCACCAUCCACGCAGAGGGCCGCUUUCUUGGGAUCCGUCUCCUGUGUCCGUCCACACGAGAACACACGCUUUGUCUCAGGUGAGAAGGGGCGAGCCCUGCCUGCCCAGUGUUCAGCCUCUGGGCAGCUGCACGCAGCUCUGCCCAGGCUUAGACAUAAAACUCAUCUCAGACCACUUUCUGCAGAUUCUGAGGUAGUCCCAGUGAUGUCAGCUUGGCUCCUCUCUGCUCACUGCACGUUAGUGUCCUUGGGUGGGUGUGCCCCCCUGACCUGCUGUAACUGACCUGCACAUGAAGCUGGCCUCUGGAAUGCUCUCCCAAGUAGGAGCCUGAAGGGUAAGCCUACGUUCUCCAGCAGGGGCAUACUGAAAAGGUGCUCGCCAUGGCCAGACCAGAGCUGCCUGAAGCCACAUCAUAGAAAUCUUAAUACACCCAAAACAAGGAAGGUGGAAACUUCCUAAGCUGUGCCAGGUACACUGGACAGCGCUUACACCACAGGUGGGUUUAGGCACGCAUGGCUUCUCUUAAUGAGAGCCUAUUCCCCCCUCCCCCCCAACAAGGUAGCUGCCGUGUCUCAGCAGACGGCUGAAAUGGCCUGACGAACAGAACUUGAGUCUGUGUCCAGGCUGGUUCACUGUUAUUAUUUUUAAUUAAUUAAUUAUAGACAAGGUUUCUCUGUGUAGGUCUGGCUGUCCUAGAACUCCAUCUCUAGACCAGAACAGUCAGAGUUACAUAGAGAGACCCUGUCUCAAACACACACCAGAGAUAGAGAGAGACAGAGACACAGAGACAGACAGAGGCAGACAGACAGCGCCCUGAGACAUUUCCAGAGCGUGGCGGGAUGCUCUCCGCCAGCGAUGGAGCUCGCUUCUGGAGCCUCACACCCCAACCGAGAAGGCAUGGCGGCUAAAGGUGGGCCGGGUCAGGCCCCUAACUAGAGUGGCAGAAACACACACAGAAGAGGCGACACCCCAACCAUGCGGGGCUCCUCUGGCUCAGCGGAGACCUGGCCCGACCCGCGCGGGGCACAGGGCCGGGUGCAGCCUCCCCGUCGGGUCUCACGGCCGCCCGGUGCACACGAGCCCGUAGCGCCCUCACUUUCCCCAUCGUCGUAGGGUUUCCGCCUGCUGGCAACGCCGCCUCACUAGAGGAAGCGCCUCCCGGAAGUGCUCCCAGCCAGCCGGAACUAGAGCCGCGGCGGUGUAGCUCCGCCUUCGGCGGGUCCCCGGAAGUGCCCCCCCGUAGCGCGUGCGCAGUUGCGGUGCUUACGUCGCGCGCUCCCCGCUAGCGUAUAAAACAGGGCUUGGAGUUGGACUUUGCAAUUCCACUUAAAUGGGAACCAGGCAGACUGGGCGGCCUCCGUCAUCCUGCACAGUCGGCUCCGUGCCCAACAGCCCCUGUGCACCCAGUGUGGUAUUGCUUUAGGAAAGCAAGGACGAAGGGUGAUUCCAACUCCACCCUAAUGACCCCUGUAAAAUACAAUACAAAACCAAAGUGGGCUAUGGUUGGGGCCACAAAAGAAAGUUGGGCCCAGGCACAGCCAGAGUAGAGGCCUUCUGCCUUCUCCCCUUCUAGGGUAGAGAGCAUCCUGGAUGCCAGGACGUCUCUGCUCAGGAUCC
ensembl:lincRNA